GUCGGCGCAGGCAAUGGAUUUCUGCCUGACCGUCCGGGUCGAACCGCCUCUUUCGGGGGCUGAUGAUUCCUACCCACCG
rnacentral:ncRNA from 21 species